rnacentral:rRNA from 1 species
AGUCGAGCGGCAGCGGGAAGRUAGYUUGCUAUCUUUGCCGGCGAGCGSCGKACGGGUGAGUAAUGCCUAGGGAUCUGCCCAGUCGAGGGGGAUAACAGUUGGAAACGACUGCUAAUACCGCAUACGCCCUACGGGGGAAAGGAGGGGACCUUCGGGCCUUCCGCGAUUGGAUGAACCUAGGUGGGAUUAGCUAGUUGGUGAGGUAAUGGCUCACCAAGGCGACGAUCCCUAGCUGUUCUGAGAGGAUGAUCAGCCACACUGGGACUGAGACACGGCCCAGACUCCUACGGGAGGCAGCAGUGGGGAAUAUUGCACAAUGGGGGAAACCCUGAUGCAGCCAUGCCGCGUGUGUGAAGAAGGCCUUCGGGUUGUAAAGCACUUUCAGUAGGGAGGAAAGGUAGCAGCUUAAUACGCUGUUGCUGUGACGUUACCUACAGAAGAAGGACCGGCUAACUCCGUGCCAGCAGCCGCGGUAAUACGGAGGGUCCGAGCGUUAAUCGGAAUUACUGGGCGUAAAGCGUGCGCAGGCGGUUUGUUAAGCGAGAUGUGAAAGCCCCGGGCUCAACCUGGGAAUUGCAUUUCGAACUGGCGAACUAGAGUCUUGUAGAG